rnacentral:rRNA from 1 species
CCUACGGGUGGCAGCAGUGGGGAAUAUUGGACAAUGGGCGAAAGCCUGAUCCAGCCAUGUCGCGUGUGUGAAGAAGGCCUUCGGGUUGUAAAGCACUUUCAGUGGGGAAGAAAGCCUUGGGGCUAAUACCCUCGAGGAAGGACAUCACCCACAGAAGAAGCACCGGCUAACUCCGUGCCAGCAGCCGCGGUAAUACGGAGGGUGCGAGCGUUAAUCGGAAUUACUGGGCGUAAAGCGCGCGUAGGCGGUCUGAUAAGCCGGUUGUGAAAGCCCCGGGCUCAACCUGGGAACGGCAUCCGGAACUGUCAGGCUAGAGUGCAGGAGAGGAAGGUAGAAUUCCCGGUGUAGCGGUGAAAUGCGUAGAGAUCGGGAGGAAUACCAGUGGCGAAGGCGGCCUUCUGGACUGACACUGACGCUGAGGUGCGAAAGCGUGGGUAGCAAACAGGAUUAGAUACCCCAGUAGUC